rnacentral:rRNA from 1 species
UUUGUUCUUUAAACCUAAAGAAUUUGGCGGUGUUUUAGUCUAUUCAGAGGAAUUUGUUUCGUAAUCGAUAAUCCUCGUUUUAUCUUUCUUUAUUUUGUAUAUCAGUAUGUAUACCGCCGUUAUAAGUUUAUUUUUUUAGGAUUAUUUACUUAAUACAUUAUUUUGUAUUAUUUCAGGUCAAGGUGCAGCUAAUAAUGAAGUGUUAAAUGAAUUACAAUAUAUUUUGUAUAUAACGUAUAUAUUUAUUAUAAUUUUAUUGAAGGUGGAUUUGUUAGUAAUUUUAUUAAUAUUGAUUUAUUGAUUUUGGCUCUAAAACGAGUACACAUCGCCCGUCGCUCUA